CCUCCCCACGCUACUCUCCGACUCUACAUCGACCCCCUCGCCGUCUCCGAAGUCGAUGUCGUUUGCGCCUAUCCUUCUCCGGCUGGAGCCGAGUCGCCGGUGACCAUUGGACCUCCAUAUCCGACUGGAAAGCGACCUAGAGACGAACUGGAAGCCGACGACAAUCAUGAAGACGACGGGAGCUGCGGUUGAGAUUAGGCGCUUGAGACUCGAUCUGUACCUAUAGCUUCUUCUUCCUCAUCGCAGAUUUCGCUCGCCUCUACUCCGCCAUCGAGUCCGAC
rnacentral:lncRNA from 1 species